rnacentral:lncRNA from 1 species
GAGCCGACUUUAGGAAGAGAAGCAUCAGACGAACGAGGGCAGGAGAAGAGACGCACGAAUUGGACGAUCACAGAAGGAACGAAGAUACUCAGGGACGAAAAAAGGUUAAGUGUGGGGAUAUUACCGUACUUGAACUUAAAUUGCAUGAUAAGGGUCCUGGUGCGAAUGAAGCAAAAACGAGUAAUAUGGAAAUGACCAGCCAGUUGAGUAGAGUAGGAUGCCAGUGACCGAAUUAAAAUCACCGCUAUUUUCAGUGAUUGGGCCGAACCCGCUAUCUCUAGCAAUAAAAAGCUGCAUAUAAUAAUUAGAGGGAAUGGGCCAUGGAUUUACUUUUUGGCGGCUGUUAAUCACGUGAAUGAGGAGAGGCCCAAUAUAUAACAUUCAUCGACAGUAGACAUUAUUAAAAUUAAAAGUGAAUAUUAUUUCUUUUAGGGGCAAUUAGGAAGUA